rnacentral:lncRNA from 1 species
UUUCCAAACCUUCACAGACUAUGACAACUUCUGCUACAGCACAAGCAAAUGAACUGAAAAUCUCUUCUCUCUAAGCUCUGCUUGCUCUCUUCUUCUAAAACCCCCUAUGGCCAAGCUUUCUUUAUUGUCUUGCCCUCCUCUCAGAUCUCUGGGUUCAGUCUUGCAGAGAUCCAAAUGUCUUCUGGGAAUGGGUAAUAUUGAGGAAAUUGUCACGAGCUGUUUUACUCUACUAAAAAGCUGGCUCUGGAGAUGGGAUUUGGCCUGACUACUCUAGGCCCAAGCAUGCUUGACUUUUAAAGCAGGGGUUAUCAAUCUUCCCAAUGCCGUGGCCCUUUAAUACAGCUCCUCAUGUUGUGGUGACUCCCAGCCAUAAAAUUAUUUUUGUUGCUACUUCAUAAUUGUAAUUUUGUUACUGUUAUGAGUCACAACACAAACAUUUUGGGGGAUAGAGGUUUGUCAAAGGUGUUACAAGAACCACUGGUCUAAAGGUUUCACCUAAAACCUCUGUUUUGGAUCAGGCUGGCCACCUGAGUCUGUGACAGGGAGAAAGAGAACAAAAGGGAACAGUCCAGGAAAAGACACUGCUUAAGAGCAGCUAAGAGGUAAACUAUGCCCAAUAGAAGUCACUGAUGGCUAGAUGCACUCACAGAUGCUUGGCUCUCUGAAUACUACUCCUUUUUCUUGGUUUUGUUUACUCUCUUUGAAACUUUUUUGAAAUGUAAAUAUGGUUUUCUCAAGACUUGUAAGACCAUUAGCAUGCUGGAUUUUUUUUGUUUUUGUUUUAAACCUAUACAAUCCCAAGCAAAGCUAAUUUAAACCUUGUAACAAAAAUGUUCUACUUUGGUGGUUUCAUCCCUGCACCCUAGCUUACAGUCCCUAAGUUGGUAUUGUGCCUCUCUCUCCUUGCCAGAAGAACCCCCAACCCCAUUCUGAGGUUGAGGAUCCACCUGCUUGCUCAGCUCUGGGUUGGUGUGGGGAAGAGAAGGCCGGGAAAGAUUGCAUUUAAACACAGAGUGAAUGCCUCUGACUUAUCUUGCUUGGGAAGAGCAAUCCAUGCUGCUGGCACGGGAUUGAAGUAGGGGGGCUCUGGGUAGCCCUGUGGAGAAACCUGUGCUCCUUCCCUCACUCCAGUUUCAUUCAGUUUGGACCUUGUGUGUGUGUGUGUGUGUGUGUGUGUGUGUGUGUGUGUGUGUGUGUUUCAAAUGGCUUUAAUAAGUAGCCAAGGUGGAGAACCCCUGGAUCGAAGUGACCGAGAAAGGAACAUUGUGGUAAGUGGGUGGAAUUAAUUAUGUUUGCUAAGUUAAGGUACUGUCUAGAAAAGCAAGUGGCUGCUUUGCAGGGCUGCAUAUUGUUAGCUGAUUGGAUUCAAAUUUCUAUGGAACAAAGGCACUUGUACUUUCUGCUUUGUGCUCUCUGUGGCUACUUCUGUGGGGUGUGGAGAACACUGUCUAAGCUAGACUUGGAUCCCGGUACAGCCCGUGUGGAAGAGGCUCCCACUUUAAAGAAAGGGGUUCUGUUGUAGGAAUGUCAGGAUAUUAAAGGCUGAAAGGCUAGCUACACUUAGCACAGUCUGAUUCAGAGCACCAAUUAUUUCUAUUCUGGGACACUUCUUGCAUUUCUCUAUGAUUUGACUCAGGCCAUCUCUCCCAUGCUAAGCAGAAAUGAACAUGAAACUUGAUGACAGACUAUGAGGAUCAUUGCAGUCCCCAAAGAAGAUACAUGAAUGGCCAAAGGUGCAUGAAAAAUGCUCAGUGACCCUAAUCAGAGAAAUAUAGAGAUCAGAACCAUAAUGAGAUACUGUAACAAAAUGCCCUAGACUGGGUACUUUAUAAAUUGAAGAGGUUUGUUUAUUACAGUUCUAGAGGUUGGUGAGGUCAAGAUCAGAGGACCUGCAUCUUGCACAUGACUUCUUGCUGUUUCAUUCUAUGAGGAGGUUGGAAGGAGAAGAAAGUACAGGGCAAGGGUACAGAACUCAUUCAUCCUUUCAUCAGAAACACACUUGUGAUGCUAAUCUACUCUCACUAUAGUGGCGCUAAUCUUCUUGAGAGAUGGGGAAAGGUGAGGAAGAGAGCUGGGGAGCUCUCAGGAGGGAAUCAGUUGGAGGGAGAAGCAGACAUGCCUGUUACAAUGUCUCAUCAGGGUUCAUAGGAAACCUGUGCUUACCCCUGGGAAUCUCUGCCUCUAGGUGGGGGAACAGGUCAUCUAUUUAGCCUGGAGGUGGGAGUGGGGACUCCCAUCCCUGAGGCUAUGACAGCCAAGCUUCUGUAAUCAACUGGUUGUGGUAUUGUGAAGGAGGUAUCUGAAUCAGCGGGAAUAAAUGACCUUCAGUUUCCCUGCCGACCUUGAGACUUUAUGAUUUUGUAAUUCUAAGUGUUGUAAGGAACGUAACAAGGAAAUUAGUUCCAUCCUGUUCGCAUGAUAGUGUCUUGCCUUUCAGCUUCCUAGAGGGAAAGGACUUUAAAAAUGCUGCGCCCUUGGAAUAGAUGAUGCGAUCCGAGCGCUUUCAUUCCGGGUCAAUUCUCUUAAGCAUCAUUGUAAUUAUGACUGAGCAGAUGCUCCAUCGUGCUGGCUGAUAAGUUUGCCGAAUUUAUCUCUCUCGAGCAGGCGUCGUGGGAUGACUGAACACAGAAUGUCAUUUUGAUGCAUAUUCUUUUUUUUUUUUUUUUUUUUUGUUUGCUGAACACUUUUUGAGUUUUCUAUUACAGAAGUUACAUUCUCCCUGUUGACUCUGGGUUAUUGAAAGUGCUGUGCUUUUU